CAAGGUUUCCGUAGGUGAACCUGCGGAAGGAUCAUUUCAGUAUUCUUUUGCCAGCGCUUUAUUGCGCGGCGAAAAACCUUUCACACUUGUUUUUCUUUUUUGAAACUAUUGCUUUGGUCUGUCUUUGAAAUAAGUUGGGCCAAAGGUUUUCACCAAACUUCAAUAUUUUUAUUGAAUUGUUUUUUUUAUUUUUUGUCAAUUUGUUGAUUUAAUUCAAAAAUCUUCAAAACUUUCAACAACGGAUCUCUUGGUUCUCGCAUCGAUGAAGAACGCAGCGAAAUGCGAUAAGUAAUAUGAAUUGCAGAUUUUCGUGAAUCAUCGAAUCUUUGAACGCACAUUGCGCCCUUUGGUAUUCCAAAGGGCAUGCCUGUUUGAGCGUCAUUUCUCUCUCAAAUCUUCGGAUUUGGUUUUGAGUGAUACUCUUUGUCAGACUAAGCGUUUGCUUGAAAUGUAUUGGCAUGAGUGGUACUAGAUAGUGCUGAACUGUUUCAAUGUAUUUGGUUUUUCCAACUCGUUGACCAGUAAAGUAUUUGUUUUUUUCACAGGCUCGGCCUUUCAACAACAAACAAAGUUUGACCUCAAAUCAGGUAGGACUACCCGCUGAACUUUAGCAUAUCAA
rnacentral:rRNA from 1 species